rnacentral:rRNA from 1 species
UACGUAGGUGGCAAGCGUUGUCCGGAUUUAUUGGGUUUAAAGGGUGCGUAGGCGGUUCUAUAAGUCAGUGGUGAAAUCCGGCAGCUCAACUGUCGAUGUGCCAUUGAUACUGCAGAACUUGAGUACAGACGAGGUAGGCGGAAUUGACGGUGUAGCGGUGAAAUGCUUAGAUAUCAGGAGGAACACCGAUGGCGAAGGCAGGUCUCUGGGCCACUACUGACGCUGAGAAGCGAAAGCAUGGGGGAGCGAACAGG